ensembl:lncRNA
AUGGCAGCUUACACACACACACACACAAGCGAAGUUCCCCCUCCCGGCGUCGCGAUGGGCAAGAUCAACAACAGCAGCGGCGCUGGAGCGAUGAGUCACAAGCCCAUCCUCGGCCACGGCAGCAAGAGAGGCUGCAGGACGCGCGCGGGACGAGGAGUGGGCGGAGCCUGGCCGUCCCACCAUCGAAUCCCGAGGCGUCAGACGCCUCCCCGGGUCCUAGCGCCCUUCUCUUCCCAGACAGAAAAGGCCGUGCCGCCGCGCGUCUUGCCCAACGGGACUUCCCUCCGCCCGUGUCUCAGGGACAAGCAGGAAAUUGAGCCUGAAGUGUGGAAUUGUACCCUCAAUGGCACCUUGAUGAUGUUGAAGCCGUGACAAUGAAAAAUACCUAACCAAAUUUCAAAGCAGUUUAAGUUGUUUCGUCUAAUGCAAUGACCCAGCAACCCCAAGAUGAAUUUGACAGCAGUGUGGAGCAGGCAUUAGACUGGAUGAAGACUAUCCAUGAGAGACUAAAAAUCAAUGACAAUACCAAAGGGCCCCGAUCUGCCUUGGAGGCUAGGCUGAGGGACACAGAGGUAAGAAAAAAGAUACUUCUGAUCCACUGUGUUUCCAGAUGUCAUUUUUUAAUAUUAUACAGGCAUGCCUCAGGUUGCAAAGCCUCUGACCACUAUUCUGUUUUUCAUAAAGUAAUUUUUUCAUAUAUAUUUUUGAAAAUACAUGAGGAAUGGGGAAGGGUACAAGAAUGGAUAUAGAACAGGAGCAUUUUAACAUCUCCGUCUUCUUCCAUUGUUAUCUAAUACAAAAAAGAUUUCUACGAUGUUAAAAAAGAAAAGAGGGAAAACAGAACAUUUAUUUUCUAAUCUAUAACAGAAGGAUAGAAAAGUGGGUGCACAGUAUUUUGAAACAAAGAAGAUAGAAAUGUUGAGAAAUGGAAAAUUGAAAGCCCUAACUAAUGCUUCCUACCCUGUCUCUGCUGUCUUUUUCAUAAUUUUUUUAAAAACUAUUUUUGUCAUAAAACACAAUCACAUCUCUGGGAAGAUUAUUCCUUAUUGCAUAUUGGAAUUGAGCCCUAAAGGGCCUUUCAAUUGGAGUCUAUGGUCUACCAAGGCUUCCAGCCACAUCCUCUGUUAUUGCCAUAGCAAAUUCCUGUACAGGUUUUUGAUAUUCCUCUCAAUCUCUUUGCGAAUAUUCUAAUCUUUGAAACUGGGUUGGAUCUCUUUGGAAAUCCAUUUGCAUCUUCUGUGCCUCUUCAAUUAUCUUAAUUUUCUGUUUUUGCUAUUCCUGUGGCUUCAAAAUACCACUCAAUGUGUCUGUCAUCAGUUGCAUAUCUUUCUUCAUCUUUUGUUGACCUUUAUCUAAAUAAUCUUCAGCCUGUGUCAAUCCUUACCUCCACAUUUUUCAUUCAAUCUGUAAUGGUUUUUAAUUGGGUCAAGAUUUCCCUCAUUGGAUUUUCUUCUUGUAGAACAUAUUCUCUCCCAGAAGCUUAUUUCUGGUUUUUGAAUCUUGGUCUUGUUGACAUUGCAGUAAUUUCUGUAGGCAAUUUGUCUUGAGAGCAUUUGUCAUUUGAACAUUGAAAGGGUCUAGAGAGCAUUUGUCGUAGUGCUUCCUUAGGCCACUUUCAUUUUUAGUACGCUGUUGUUUACAGCCCUUUUAGUUGUUUCCCUGUUUUCUAUAUUUCAAGCUGUAUUUCAAGCUCUAAGGUUUUCUAUAUGGUUCUAUCUCUAUGGUUCAUCUCUAUGGUUACUUCUUGUCUUAUUUCCUGUUUGGAAUCAGUCCAGAGGUUCCAGGUGGUCCCAGAAUGUUAUAGCUAUUGAGUUCUUAGGUAUAUUAAACAAUUUGCUUCUCACAGUUCUUAGAGCAUAACCUUUAACAAAUUAAUUCACUUUCACCUUUUGUAGUUGGUCUCACCAGAUAGUUUCAUGUGGCAGACUUAGAAAAUUCUUGAAGAAUAGUUCCACUAAUUAGAUUUUAAGCCCUUUUUAUCUCUUCAGUUUCCACUGGAGGAAAAAAGAAUGCAGUUACCUCUAAGAGAUGUUUUGUCUAUGAAGUUGGUUCUGUGGUGUUUUGCCUCAUUUAGUCAGAAUGCUGUGUCUGUUGGUUUUUGUUUCUGUUGAUUUUUUCCCCUUACCACAGUGAUUUUGGAUCUUAGUUUUAUUGUUGGUUCAUGUGCUUGUUAAGGAUUUUAAUUAUUGUAAAGCAACCCUGGGUAUUAACUUACUCAAAGGCUGGAGUAUAAAGGUUUGAUUUAGUAUUAACAAAGGAAUUGUUAGUACUUAUUCAGCAUAGUGCAAGCCGGGCUUUGAUCACUUAUUUUAGGGUUGCACUGGGAUUAAAAAUUGUCUGUUAUAAUAACCAUUAAGCAGGCAAGCAGAAGUACUCUUCAUUGGUCGCAUCCAUUGAAUUCC